ACUGCUCAGUAACACGUGGACAACCUACCCUCAGAUCUGGGAUAAACCCUGGGAAACUGGGCAUAAUACUGGAUAAACCUUGGAUGCUGGAAUGCACCGAGGCCCCAAAGCUCCGGCGUCUGAGGAUGGGUCUGCGGCCUAUCAGGGUAGUAGUGGGUGUAAAGUACCUACUAGCCUACGACGGGUACGGGUUGUGAGAGCAAGAGCCCGGAGAUGGACUCUGAGACACGAAUCCAGGCCCUACGGGGUGCAGCAGGCGCGAAAACUUUACAAUGCUGGCAACAGCGAUAAGGGGACCUUGAGUGCCAGGAUACAAUCCUGGCUGUCGUGAUGCCUAAAAAGCAUUAUAUAGCAAGGGCCGGGCAAGACCGAUGCCAGCCGCCGCGGUAACACCGGCGGCUCGAGUGGUAACCGCUAUUAUUGGGUCUAAAGGGUCUGUGGCCGGCUUGGUUAGUCUCUUGGGAAACCCGGCAGCUUAACUGUCGGGCUUUCAGGAGAUACUGCCAGGCUCGAGACCGGGAGAGGUGAGAGGUACUUCAUGGGUAGGGGUGAAAUCUUGUAAUCCUUGAAGGACCACCAGUGGCGAAGGCGUCUCACCAGAACGGAUCUGACGGCAAGGGACGAAAGCUAGGGGCACGAACCGGAUUAGAUACCCGGGUAGUCCUAGCCGUAAACGAUACUCGCUAGGUGUCGGCCACGGUGCGACCGUGGUCGGUGCCGUAGGGAAGCCGUGAAGCGAGCCACCUGGGAAGUACGGCCGCAAGGCUGAAACUUAAAGGAAUUGGCGGGGGAGCAC
rnacentral:rRNA from 1 species